rnacentral:misc_RNA from 1 species
CCGAAUUGUCAACAAGGGUUGUUGCUGGUCCCUGUAUGGGGGCAUGUGCACACUCUGUUUACACAUCCACUCACACCUGUGCACCCUCUGUAGUUCUAUGGCCUGGGGGGCUCCGUCCUCCUGCUGUGGCUCUACAUCUUUACACACACACACAGUGAAAAAGUCUCAUGGAAUGUAUGUGGCGUUUAACGCAAUGAAAUA